rnacentral:lncRNA from 1 species
CUGGCAGGUGCUUGCUUGGAGAUGAUGGGUGCUCUCUUCUCUUCCAAAGCUGCAUGGAGGAGCUGGGGAGGGGAGCCCAUGGACCGACAGAGUUGGCACCUCCUGUGCCCAGAACGAGCUCAUCUACUACACAGCUGCCACUGAGCUGGCCCCGCCUGGGGCAGCCCCCGGGCAGCCGGAAGGAGCCAGGAGGAACUGGAGAACCCCCCACAGCUGGCCCUGGGACUGAUCGCCCCAAGAAUCCCCUGAGCUAAGCCACGUCUCUGCAGCAAUGGAACAGCCACUCAGGAUUCACCCUGUGCCUGCACCCAGGCUGGUCAGCACCUGCCCUGCCCCCAGGCACAGGGGCUGUUGGCACUGCUGCUGUGCAGCACGUGGACUGUAAUGCCCACUCCUUGUCCUGCUGCCCACCUGCAUGAACUGCCUCAAACUGCAGUUGCUCCCUGCUCCCCUUUAAGCCUGGUGGACUGGUGUUCAUUGCUCUGCCUGCUGCUGGUGCAGGUAUAGCCACCCCACGUGCUCUGAGCCUGCAGGAUGUAGGUGGUGCACCUAGGGCUGUGCUGAUCUGACUUUGCUCCUUGUAGUGGCAAUAGGGAGCAGCUGAGACCGAGCAGCUCGCUGGGCACAGAGCUUGCUCAGCAAAUUGAAGGUGCAUAUGACCCUUGGGAAGCCAUAGCUCUUAGCCUGGAAGGGCCUUGCCCCUGCUGUUCAGCCCUGCACCCUCCCACGAGUGAAGCAAGCUGUUCUUGGAAGGAAAGCUCUGCAUUUGUAGGGAAAUAAACUGAGGGUUGGUUUUUUGUUUUUUUUUUUU